CGUCUGGGAAAACCAGGAAGUUGGCACAUCAGGUUUAUAUAAAGCAGGAAAGAUAAACUGGUGGAGCUCAGAUUUGGAACACAGUCAGACACCUUUCUCCUUUACUUCACUCCCAAAUACUGAAGAAUAAUGAAGACUCUGAUCCUGACUCUGGUGUUUGCCUUAAUGCUGAUGAGUGGUUCUGCUCUCAAAUGUAAAAAGUGUAUUGCCCCAAGUGGAGGCAGAUGUACAACCACUACUGAAACCUGUGGCAUUAGGCAAGAUGCCUGUAUCUCUGCUAUUUUCACAAACUACCCAUUUGGCUAUUUCAAGAGAUGCAUUGCAAUGUCAGACUGCCGCCUCCUACAGGGCACUCAGGGCAUUACAGCUACAUGCUGUCAGAGGGACCUCUGCAAUUAGCAUAACACUAAACUAUGAACAAGUUUAAUCUGUAAUAUCUCUGCAUUAUUGUUGCUCUUCUCUGUGUUUAAGUUUUUAAUCAGUGAACUCUAUAGUAUAUUAUAUAUUAUAUUAUAUGCAUUUGUGUCUUUUUUUUCACCUAAAGCUUGACGAUAAUGUACUGAAUGCAUCAUAAAUAAAAAGUCUUUUAGCAGCA